CCUACGGGUGACAGCAGUGAGGAAUAUUGGUCAAUGGGCGAGAGUCUGAACCAGCCAAGUAGCGUGAAGGAUGACUGCCCUAUGGGUUGUAAACUUCUUUUAUAAAGGAAUAAAACGAGGCACGUGUGCCUGUUUGCAUGUACUUUAUGAAUAAGGAUCGGCUAACUCCGUGCCAGCAGCCGCGGUAAUACGGAGGAACCGAGCGUUAUCCGGAUUUAUUGGGUUUAAAGGGAGCGUAGAUGGGUUGUUAAGUCAGUUGUGAAAGUUUGCGGCUCAACCGUAAAAUUGCAAUUGAUACUGGCAGUCUUGAGUACAGUUGAGGUAGGCGGAAUUCGUGGUGUAGCGGUGAAAUGCUUAGAUAUCACGAAGAACCCCGAUUGCGAAGGCAGCUUACUAAACUGUGACUGACAUUGAUGCUCGAAAGUGUGGGUAUCAAACAGGAUUAGAUACCCCAGUAGUC
rnacentral:rRNA from 1 species